rnacentral:tRNA from 2 species
GCUCCCAUCGUCUAGAGGCCUAGGACCCCGCCCUUUCACGGCGGUAACACGGGUUCGAAUCCCGUUGGGAGUAC